CUAAGCCGCCGCCGGUGAACUCGACCGGAACCACCCUUCACGCCCAUGCUUCUAUGCGGCUGGCCUUCGUGGAUCGUACCAGUCUACAGGCUACAGCCCACCACGGCAUGCGCUCGCUCCUGCGGCCUUAUCCCCAGUCCACCACAAGCGCACACCCCUCGCCUCCCCCUUCCCCUCCAGCAAUGGCCGCACCCGCCGGCCGGGGGGUAUUUAGCCUGCCGUUGUCUGCUCAUCUGCGGGCUUAAUCUGGUCCGGGAAGUAGUUGCAUUUUUUAAGGACAGCAGAUAGAAGACACUGAAGACAAGUAUUGCCUGUGACAUUCUGCUGUAAUGACCACCUGGAGUAUGCAGCAGCAGCAGGAGGAGGAGGAGCAGAUUUGGAUGGAUACACAACCAAGCAGGAGCAGGAUAUUGAGAUUAUAAGGAUGAAAUGUGUGGUGGGCCCCAGCAAAAAAGAAAAGGAAAAGAAAUGUGUAGUGGAGAAAUACCAACUUAUCUUCAGUUGGACAACUAUUUACAGCCUUUUGUUUUCUCAAAUUGAAGACUAGCUGAUUUAUUGAGAAUUUUCGUCAAGCUGUAAAUUCAUGUUUUUUUAUUUUGUUUGA